rnacentral:rRNA from 1 species
CCAAUAGCGUAUAUUAAAGUUGUUGCAGUUAAAAAGCUCGUAGUUGAAUUUCAGGCCUGGCUGGACGGUCCGCCCUUCGGGUGAGUACUGUCUGUGGUCGGGUCCUACCUUCUGGCGAAGCGUCAUGGCCUUAACCGGCCGUGGCGGGGAACCAGGACUUUUACUGUGAAAAAAUUAGAGUGUUCAAAGCAGGCAAUCGCUUGGAUACAUUAGCAUGGAAUAAUGGAAUAGGACAAUGGUUCUAUUUGUUGGUUUCUAGGACCGUUGUAAUGAUUAAUAGGGAUAGUUUGGGGCAUUAGUAUUCAAUGGUCAGAGGUGAACUUCUUGGAUUUAUUGAAGACUAACUACUGCGAAAGCAUUUGCCAAGGAUGUUUGCAUUAAUCAAGAACGAAAGUUAGGGGAUCGAAGACGAUCAGAUACCGUCGUAGUCUUAACCAUAAACUAUGCCGACUAGGAAUCGGGCGAUGUUGACAAAAUGACGCGCUCGGCACCUCAUG